rnacentral:rRNA from 2 species
AUCNGGCUACCAUGCAAGUCGAGGGGCAGCAUUUCAGUUUGCUUGCAAACUGGAGAUGGCGACCGGCGCACGGGUGAGUAACACGUAUCCAACCUGCCGAUAACUCGGGGAUAGCCUUUCGAAAGAAAGAUUAAUACCCGAUGGNAUAAUCAGACCGCAUGGUCUUAUUAUUAAAGAAUUUCGGUUAUCGAUGGGGAUGCGUUCCAUUAGGCAGUUGGUGAGGUAACGGCUCACCAAACCUUCGAUGGAUAGGGGUUCUGAGAGGAAGGUCCCCCACAUUGGAACUGAGACACGGUCCAAACUCCUACGGGAGGCAGCAGUGAGGAAUAUUGGUCAAUGGGCGCAGGCCUGAACCAGCCAAGUAGCGUGAAGGAUGACUGCCCUAUGGGUUGUAAACUUCUUUUAUAUGGGAAUAAAGUUUUCCACGUGUGGAAUUUUGUAUGUACCAUAUGAAUAAGGAUCGGCUAACUCCGUGCCAGCAGCCGCGGUAAUACGGAGGAUCCGAGCGUUAUCCGGAUUUAUUGGGUUUAAAGGGAGCGUAGGUGGACAGUUAAGUCAGUUGUGAAAGUUUGCGGCUCAACCGUAAAAUUGCAGUUGAUACUGGCUGUCUUGAGUACAGUAGAGGUGGGCGGAAUUCGUGGUGUAGCGGUGAAAUGCUUAGAUAUCACGAAGAACUCCGAUUGCGAAGGCAGCUCACUGGACUGCAACUGACACUGAUGCUCGAAAGUGUGGGUAUCAAACAGGAUUAGAUACCCUGGUAGUCCACACAGUAAACGAUGAAUACUCGCUGUUUGCGAUAUACAGUAAGCGGCCAAGCGAAAGCAUUAAGUAUUCCACCUGGGGAGUACGCCGGCAACGGUGAAACUCAAAGGAAUUGACGGGGGCCCGCACAAGCGGAGGAACAUGUGGUUUAAUUCGAUGAUACGCGAGGAACCUUACCCGGGCUUAAAUUGCAUUUGAAUANUNUGGAAACAGNUUAGCCGCAAGGCAAAUGUGAAGGUGCUGCAUGGUUGUCGUCAGCUCGUGCCGUGAGGUGUCGGCUUAAGUGCCAUAACGAGCGCAACCCUUAUCUUUAGUUACUAACAGGUCAUGCUGAGGACUCUAGAGAGACUGCCGUCGUAAGAUGUGAGGAAGGUGGGGAUGACGUCAAAUCAGCACGGCCCUUACGUCCGGGGCUACACACGUGUUACAAUGGGGGGUACAGAAGGCAGCUACCUGGUGACAGGAUGCUAAUCCCAAAAGCCUCUCUCAGUUCGGAUCGAAGUCUGCAACCCGACUUCGUGAAGCUGGAUUCGCUAGUAAUCGCGCAUCAGCCAUGGCGCGGUGAAUACGUUCCCGGGCCUUGUACACACCGCCCGUCAAGCCAUGAAAGCCGGGGGUACCUGAAGUACGAACCGCAAGGAGCUCCUAGG